AUGGCGACCACCACCGGCGGGACGAGCCCCGCCCCCGCGAUGAGCAUGAAGCUGCUGGUGGACACCAAGGCGGGGCGCGUGCUGUUCGCGGAGGCCGGCAAGGACGUCGUCGACUUCCUCUUCUCCCUCCUCGCCCUGCCCGUCGGCACCGCCGUCCGCCUGCUCGGCAGGCGCUCCAUGCCCGGCAGCGCCGGCGACCUCUACGCCAGCGUCCAGAGGCUCGACGCCGCCUACCUCCUGCCCGGCGCCGACAUCGGCGCGCUCCUCCGCCCCGCCGUCCCCUCCAGCAUCCCCCUCCUCUGCUUGCCCGGCCCGUCGUCGUCGUCGGCCGCGUCCAAGCGAUUCUUCUGGUGCGGCGAGGACCACAGCCGCGACUACGGCUACGGGCGCCCCGAGCACAACUACGUGACGGACGCGAGCGGUGGCGCGUGCCCGACCUGCGCCAAGCCGAUGACGAAGAAGAUGUACUGGGCGCGGUCCGACUCCGGCGGCUCUGGAAAGGCGGCGGCGGUCUCCGCCGCCACGGGAAGGGCGAAAGGGUUCGUGCAGGGCGUCGUGACGUACACGGUCACGGACAACCUCACCGUGACCCCCAUGUCCGCCAUCUCCAGCAUCACCCUGCUCAACACCUUCCGCGUCAGGGACCAGCGCGCUACAGGAGAAGACCGUGCGGAUCGGCUACAAGGAGGGUUUGGCGAUUCUCAAGGCGUCGAUGCAGUCCAAGACCGUUCUCACCGACGUCUUCCUCGCCCACAAGGCUCCACGAUCAGCUGCCUAAAUUAG
rnacentral:rRNA from 1 species